AUUGAACGCUGGCGGCAGGCCUAACACAUGCAAGUCGGACGGUAGCACAGAGGAGCUUGCUCCUUGGGUGACGAGUGGCGGACGGGUGAGUAAUGUCUGGGGAUCUGCCCGAUAGAGGGGGAUAACCACUGGAAACGGUGGCUAAUACCGCAUAACGUCGCAAGACCAAAGAGGGGGACCUUCGGGCCUCUCACUAUCGGAUGAACCCAGAUGGGAUUAGCUAGUAGGCGGGGUAAUGGCCCACCUAGGCGACGAUCCCUAGCUGGUCUGAGAGGAUGACCAGCCACACUGGAACUGAGACACGGUCCAGACUCCUACGGGAGGCAGCAGUGGGGAAUAUUGCACAAUGGGCGCAAGCCUGAUGCAGCCAUGCCGCGUGUAUGAAGAAGGCCUUCGGGUUGUAAAGUACUUUCAGCGGGGAGGAAGGCGGUGAGGUUAAUAACCUUGCCGAUUGACGUUACCCGCAGAAGAAGCACCGGCUAACUCCGUGCCAGCCGCCGCAGUAA
rnacentral:rRNA from 1 species